rnacentral:rRNA from 1 species
UCAAAGAUUAAGCCAUGCAUGUUCCAGAAUAAGCUCUUCAUAACUAGUCUGUGAAUGGCUCAUUAAACCAGUUAUUGUGUCAUUGGCUGUUCCCAAGUACAUGGAUACCUUUGGUAAUGCUACAGCUAAUACAUGCUACGAAGCCUGACUGCCCUGGAAGGAUAUUCUUAUUAGUUCUGAAAAUCAAGCGUAGCUUCGCUAUGACUGUAAAUGAUGUGUGGWAAGUUCAUGAAUCAUACAGCUGUUGCUGGUGAUGCAUCUUUCCAGUUCCUGACCUAUCAGCUUUUGAUUGGAGGGUAUUGUCUUCCAAUGGCAGCGACGGGUAACGGAGAAUUAGGGUUUGACUCCGGAGAGGGAGCCUGAGGAAUAGCUACCACAUCUAAGGAAGGCAGCAGGCGCGCAAAUUACCCAAUCUUAGCCCAAGGAGGUAGUGACAAGAAAUAGCAAUAUAGGGCAUCCAUGUCUUGUAAUUGGAAUGGACUAAAUGAAAAUGUGUUUGUGAGUACCCAUUGGAGGGCAAGUCUGGUGCCAGCAGCCGCGGUAAUUCCAGCUCCAAUAGCGUAUAUUAAAGUUGUUGUGGUUAAAAAGCUCGUAGUUGGAUUUUUGCUGUGAAUAACUGGUCCAUCCUGUGGGUGAGCAUUUGGGUAURCAAAGCAUAUGCUCAGCAGCCCCUGCUGCACUUCAUUGUGCGGUGUGUCUGCUGGGACCUUUACUUUGAAAAAAUCAAAGUGUUUGCAGCAGGCAGUGUGUUUUGAAUACAUUAGCAUGGAAUAAUGUGAGUGGACUUUAAUUCUCUUUAUUGGUUUCAGAAAGAAAGUAAUUGUGGGCAGGGGUAGUUUGGGGCAUAUGUACUCAACUGUCAGAGGUGAAAUUCUUGGAUUUGUUGAAGACAAACAGAUGCAAAAGCAUUUGCCAAGGAUGUUUUUUUGAUCAAGAACGAAAGUUAGGGGAUCGAAGACGAUCAGAUACCGUCGUAGUCUUAACCAUAAACUAUGCCAGCCAGGAGUUGGAGGCUGUUACUUGAAUGAUUCCUUCAGCACCAUAUGAGAAAUCAAAGCCUUUGGGUUCCGGGGGGAGUAUGGUCGCAAGGCUGAAACUUAAAGGAAUUGACGGAAGGGCACCACCAGRAGUGGAGCCUGCGGCWUAAUUUGACUCAACACGGGGAAACUCACCAGGUCCAGACAUAGCAAGGAUUGACAGAUUGAUAGCUCUUUCUUGAUUUGAUGGGUGGUGGUGCAUGGCCGUUCUUAGUUGGUGGAGUGAUUUGUCUGGUUAAUUCCGUUAACGAACGAGAUCUUGACUUGCUAAAUAGUUACUCCUACAACCCUGUAGGUGGAGAACUUCUUAGAUGGACAUUGUGUGUUUAACAUAAGGAAGUUUGAGGCAAUAACAGGUCUGUGAUGCCCUUAGAUGUUCUGGGCUGCACGCGUGCUACACUGAUGUGCUCAGCAAGCAUCAGCCUUGCCUGGMAAGGCAGUGUAAUCUUUGAACGUGCAUCGUGAUGGGGAUCGUCUAUUGCAAUUAUUAGUCUUGAACGAGGAAUCCCUAGUAAACGUGAUUCAUCAUCUUGUGUUGAUUACGUCCCUGCCCUUUGUACACACCGCCCGUCGCUCCUACCGAUUGAAUGAUCCGGUGAAUAAGUUGGACUGCCUCAUAUCAAGGCUUGCUAUGGCAUGUGGUGGUAAAUCUUAUAAGCCUUAUUAUUUAGAGGAAGGAGAAGUCGUAACAAGG